AUUUGCAUAGCACAACCUCUCCCUCCACCCCCUCCUGUCUCCCACGUGGAUCUUCAUGUAAUUAAUUAAUAUCGCGUUCAUCAGAGCUUAAUUCAUGUUCUUGUAAUAUACAAGGAUUAAAAAAAAAUCCUACCAAGAGAGCAGUAAUAGGCUCCGGCUUUUCUGGUCUGGGAGCAAAUAUAAUGAGCCUCCAUGAAAAUAUUGAAUCGCUUCCCGCAGUCUCCACACCUCAGAGCACUGGCAUGUUUACUGUGUCUCCGGUAUGUCAUUAUCAGCAGUGUGAAAAUGGACUCACUCCCACCCUGUCUGGAUCUGGACAAGAGCCCACCACCCCGUUGGCAGUAGUCAGGCAGCUCUGCUUCUAAGAACCUGCAGCUUUUGGAAGAAAGGCACCCUGUGGUUUCAGAAGCCCAAGAGUCCCUGCAGCUCAGCACCCCCAGCCUGGUGCUUGGCAGAUGACUGCCUCCUCACUUAGCAGAGGGAGCAGAAAACUGUGUAUUCUUCAGAACAUCAUGAUAACCUGGCACUCAUGGGUCUAUGGAGAGAAUUCAGGGGGUCUGGGAGCUUGGAUGGAAUAAAUUUGCAUCUUUAUUUUCAGGAAAGUUUUACUGAAGUUUAGCAUUUUCUUUCAUUAUAAAUGGAAUCAGUAUAACCCAAUAGUAUGAGCAGUUACUUCUCCGCAACAUCAAAGUGGCUGCAGAUAUCUCAAAAUAGUAUUUACAUUUAUCAUAACUUAGAAAUUUGGGUGGUAAUUAAACCAGCAACUAUUCUUUGUUUAAUGCAUUAAGAAAGAAGUAUGUAUACUAUCAUAUCUCAAUUAAAAAUAUUUUAAGAACUGGAUUUUAACUUUAUUGGUUUCCUUUGUAACUCUCUGUAUUUCAUUUUAG
rnacentral:lncRNA from 1 species